UUAAGUUGAUUUCUUCGGAUUGAUUCUUAACUGACUGAGCGGCGGACGGGUGAGUAACGCGUGGGUGACCUGCCCCAUACCGGGGGAUAACAGCUGGAAACGGCUGCUAAUACCGCAUAAGCGCACAGAGCUGCAUGGCUCGGUGUGAAAAACUCCGGUGGUAUGGGAUGGGCCCGCGUCUGAUUAGGCAGUUGGCGGGGUAACGGCCCACCAAACCGACGAUCAGUAGCCGGCCUGAGAGGGCGACCGGCCACAUUGGGACUGAGACACGGCCCAAACUCC
rnacentral:rRNA from 1 species